rnacentral:rRNA from 1 species
UACGUAGGGGGCAAGCGUUGUCCGGAUUUAUUGGGCGUAAAGAGCUCGUAGGCGGUUCCGUAAGUCGAGUGUGAAAAAUCUGGGCUCAACCCAGUGGAGCACUCGAUACUGCGGUGACUAGAGUACGGUAGAGGAGUGUGGAAUUCCUGGUGUAGCGGUGAAAUGCGUAGAUAUCAGGAGGAACACCUGCGGUGUAGACGGCUUACUGGACCAUAACUGACGCUGAGGCACGAAAGCGUGGUAGCAAACAGG